UACAGAGGGUGCAAGCGUUAAUCGGAUUUACUGGGCGUAAGGGACGCGUAGGUGGUUGUUUAAGUUGAGAUGUGAAAUCCCCGGGCUUAACCUGGGAACUGCAUCUUAUACUGGGCAACUGGAGUGCAAUAGAGGGUAGUGGAAUUUCCGGUGGAGCGGUGAAAUGCGUAGAGAUCGGAAAGAACACCAACGGCGAAAGCACUCUGCUGGGCCGACACUGACACUGAGAGACGAAAGCUAGGGGAGCGAAUGGG
rnacentral:rRNA from 1 species